AUUGAACGCUGGCGGCAGGCCUAACACAUGCAAGUCGAACGAGUGGCGGACGGGUGAGUAAUGUCUGGGAAACUGCCCGAUGGAGGGGGAUAACUACUGGAAACGGUAGCUAAUACCGCGUACCAUCGGAUGUGCCCAGAUGGGCAUAGCUUGUAGGUGAGGUAACGGCUCACCUAGGCGACGAUCCCUAGCUGGUCUGAGAGGAGGACCAGAGUCACUGGAACGGAGACACGGUGCAGACUGCUACGGGAGGCAGCUGUGGUGAAGAUUGUACAAUGGGCGGAAGCGUGAUGCCGCCAUGCUGCGGAGAUGAAGAAGGCCUUCGUGUUGUAAAGGACUUUCAGCGGGGAGGCGUUACCCGCAGAUGAAGCACCGGCUCACUCCGUGCCAGCAGCCGCUGUAAUAC
rnacentral:rRNA from 1 species